ensembl:lincRNA 9430024E24Rik RIKEN cDNA 9430024E24 gene
GCUGAAGCUAGCUACAGACCCUCAGGGCUCAGCUGGGAGGGAUUUAUUGGAGAAUUUCAAUCAUGGGGUCUUGGCUCAAACUUGUUGCUUCCCUCAAAAAAUCUGCCCAGAAGUUUGAUUACAUGUGGGAUUGGGGCACGAGGGGCCAGUCUGAUGAUCUCGCAAUUCAGAAUUCCACCUGGGCCUCUGGGAGUGUUGCAGCCCCGAGAGGAAGAGAACAGAACACAGGACAGCCAGCGAGAGCGGGUUCUGACAUGAUGCGGAGUGGAAAUCUUGGACGCCUAAUGACAUAUUUCUACCCAGGAAGAAUUUUGAAUUCCGAAGGCACACUUGAUUAAAACCCCAAACCCUGAGCAGUUGCUGAUGGAACCACCCGACACUUUGACUUCUGGGUGUCAGUGCUUAAUUAAAAUAUUCACCCAGCUGCUCUUCCCUUGCCAAGGGGACCCAAAGGAAUUAAACCAAUAAGCUUAAUUCCGUUAGGUCACCUGCCUGUGUAUACAGAGACAUGGAAGACCAUUUACCAGUUCAGAAAUAAAGUGUCAGAUCCACCCAGCAAACCCAGCAUGGACCACACAGCGAACCAGUCCCCGAGAUGGACAGCAUCACCCUCUGCCAUCUCCGUUUCCAACUUGGAACACACGCAGCUAUUUUUAAGGUCUCUUCCAGUAUGACCAAAGUGACGCACUAGUCAAUACAAGGAUUACUAUGCC